UCUCCAUUUUUUUUUCCUGAGCUUUCCAAAAACCUCACAGACAAACCUACUGCUAUUUACUGCUUACUGCUAUACGACUUUAAAUUAUCUGAUACACCAGAUAUUUUAUUCAAAAAUAAAAUAUCCCCAUGGGAUCUGCAGCUUGCUAGUGCUGUAGCCAGACAUGCUGUCAUAUGAACAGGCUGUGCUGGAGGCAUCAGUGCACCCUGUGGACCCUGAUUAACUGUCUGGCAGGGAAUAUUCACACUCUGCUGGAGCAGCAUUGCCACUGUGUAAAAGGAGAGCUCCCAGGAGCAUGAGCACAUGCUGAGAACAAAUGCUGAUGCUCUGAUCUGCUGGAGCAAAACUUCUCAUCCCUACCCUUCUGCUAAGACGUAGCUGAGUACUGGACCAUUGCAAUGUGUGAACUCCCAAGUGGCUUCCUGAAAAGCUGCAGUGGCAGAUUAUCUGCGGUUCAGGGGAAGGUGUCAUUUCACCGAGCAGAGGAAGGAAGCAGCCUGACAUUUGUUUAAGACUUCAGACCAGUACACCUUGUGUAGAUGUCUUGUCUCUUCUCCGUUCAGCUCAAAUACAGUUGGUAUCUACAUUCCACUCCAGUGCCACGAGAGUCA